GAGUUUGAUCUUGGCUCAGGAUGAACGCUGGCGGCGUGCCUAAUACAUGCAAGUCGAGCGAACGGACGAGAAGCUUGCUUCUCUGAUGUUAGCGGCGGACGGGUGAGUAACACGUGGAUAACCUACCUAUAAGACUGGGAUAACUUCGGGAAACCGGAGCUAAUACCGGAUGAUAUUUUGAACCGCAUGGUUCAGAAGUGAAAGACGGUCUUGCUGUCACUUAUAGAUGGAUCCGCGCUGCAUUAGCUAGUUGGUAAGGUAACGGCUUACCAAGGCAACGAUGCAUAGCCGACCUGAGAGGGUGAUCGGCCACACUGGAACUGAGACACGGUCCAGACUCCUACGGGAGGCAGCAGUAGGGAAUCUUCCGCAAUGGGCGAAAGCCUGACGGAGCAACGCCGCGUGAGUGAUGAAGGUCUUCGGAUCGUAAAACUCUGUAUUAGGGAGAACAUAUGUGUAAGUAACUGUGCACAUCUUGACGGUACCUAAUCAGAAAGCCACGGCU
rnacentral:rRNA from 1 species